rnacentral:rRNA from 1 species
UACGUAGGGGGCAAGCGUUGUCCGGAUUCAUUGGGCGUAAAGAGCGUGUAGGCGGCCAGGUAGGUCGGUUGUGAAAACUGGAGGCUCAACCUUCAGAGGUCGACCGAAACCAUCUGGCUAGAGUCCGGGAGAGGUGAGUGGAAUUCCCAGUGUAGAGGUGAAAUUCGUAGAUAUUGGGAAGAACACCAGUGGCGAAGGCGGCUCACUGGCCCGUAACUGACGCUGAGGUGCGAAAGCGUGGGGAGCAAACAGG